UUAAUUGAAACCAAAAUAGAGGUAAAUUAUUGUUAAUAAUUUUAUUGAAUCGCCAAUUGAA
rnacentral:tRNA from 1 species